rnacentral:rRNA from 1 species
UGUCGUCAGCUCGUGUCGUGAGAUGUUAGGUUAAGUCCUGCAACGAGCGCAACCCCUACUUUUAGUUGCUAACAUUAAGUUGAGCACUCUAAAGGGACUGCUAAGGUUAACUUAGAGGAAGGUGGGGAUGACGUCAAAUCAUCAUGCCCUUUAUGCCUUGGGCAACACACGUGCUACAAUGGUCGGUACAAAGAGAAGCAAUACCGCGAGGAGGAGCAAAUCUUAAAAACCGAUCCCAGUUCGGAUUGCAGGCUGCAACUCGCCUGCAUGAAGCCGGAGUUGCUAGUAAUCGUGAAUCAGCAUGUCGCGGUGAAUACGUUCCCGGG